GACGAACGCUGGCGGCGUGCUUAACACAUGCAAGUCGAACGAGACGAUUGAAAGCUUGCUUUUGAAAGUCGAGUGGCAAACGGGUGAGUAACGCGUAGACAACCUGCCCUUGAGAUGGGGACAACAGUUCGAAAGGACUGCUAAUACCGAAUGUUGUAUAUUUUCCACAUGGAAGAUAUAUUAAAGAUGGCCUCUAUUUAUAAGCUAUCGCUCAAAGAUGGGUCUGCGUCUGAUUAGCUGGUUGGUGGGGUAACGGCCUACCAAGGCGACGAUCAGUAGCCGGUCUGAGAGGAUGAACGGCCACAUUGGGACUGAGACACGGCCCAGACUCCUACGGGAGGCAGCAGUGGGGAAUCUUCCACAAUGGACGAAAGUCUGAUGGAGCAACGCCGCGUGAGUGAAGAAGGGUUUCGGCUCGUAAAGCUCUGUUGUCAGGGACGAAUGUGCAGUAUUUGAAUAAAGUACUGCAAUGACGGUACCUGACGAGGAAGCCACGGCUAACUACGUGCCAGCAGCCGCCGUAAUAC
rnacentral:rRNA from 1 species